UACGGAAGGCAGCAGUGGGGAAUAUUGCACAAUGGGCGAAAGCCUGAUGCAGCUAUGCCGCGUGUAUGAAGAAGGCCUUAGGGUUGUAAAGUACUUUCAUCGGGGAGGAAAAAACAAAACUAAUAAUUUUAUUUCUUGACGUUACCCGAAAAAGAAGCACCGGCUAACUCCGUGCCAGCAGCCGCGGUAAUACGGAGGGUGCUAGCGUUAAUCAGAAUUACUGGGCGUAAAGAGCACGUAGGUGGUUUUUUUAAAGUCAGAUGUGAAAUUCCCUGGGCUUAACCUAGGAACUGCAUUUUGAAACUGAAAUACUAGAGUAUCGUAGAGGGAGGUAGAAUUCUAGGUGUAGCGGUGAAAUGCGUAGAUAUCUGGAGGAAUACCUGUGGCGAAAGCGGCCUCCUAAACGAAUACUGACACUGAGGUGCGAAAGCGUGGGGAGCAAACAGGGAUUAGAUACC
rnacentral:rRNA from 1 species